rnacentral:rRNA from 1 species
GACGAACGCUGGCGGCAGGCUUAACACAUGCAAGUCGAGCGCCCCGCAAGGGGAGCGGCAGAAGGGUGAGUAACGCGUGGGAAUCUACCCAUCUCUACGGAAUAACGCAUGGAAACGUGUGCUAAUACCGUAUACGUCCUUCGGGAGAAAGAUUUAUCGGAGAUGGGUGAGCCCGCGUUGGAUUAGCUAGUUGGUGGGGUAAAGGCCUACCAAGGCGACGAUCAAUAGCUGGUCUGAGAGAAUGAUCAGCCACACUGGGACUGAGACACGGACCAGACGCCUACGGGGGGAUGCAGUGGGGAAUAUUGGACAAUGGGCGCAAGCCUGAUCCAGCCAUGCCGCGUGAGGGAUGAAGGCCCUAUGGUUGUAAAGCUCUUUCACCGGUGAAGAUAAUGGCGGUAACCGGAGAAGAAGCCCCGGCUAACUUCGUGCCAGCCGCCGCAGUAACAC